UACGUAGGGGGCGAGCGUUGUCCGGAUUUAUUGGGCGUAAAGAGCUCGUAGGCGGUUCGAUAAGUCGGACGUGAAAUCUCCACGCUCAACGUGGAGGGGCCGUUCGAUACUGUCGUGACUCGAGUCCGGUAGGGGAGUGUGGAAUUCCCGGUGUAGCGGUGAAAUGCGCAGAGAUCGGGAGGAACACCCGUAGCGAGGGCGGCACUCUGGGCCGGUACUGACGCUGAGGAGCGAAAGCGUGGGGAGCAAACAGG
rnacentral:rRNA from 1 species